GAGGGAUUCAAACUAUAUGGGGUAACUGAGAUUUUGGCACACCACGAGCAACUGUGUCAAGCGCAUUUUGUCCCUGGCCACAUUAAAGAAGUUGAUGCAGACUUCAUAGUUGGUGCUUUUUCUCCCAACUUAAGUGAAGAAGGAUCUGUCAGACGUCAGCAAGAAUUGAUCUCUUUCAAUUUUCUGCAAGACUGUCUGCAGAAUCUGAAAAACAGAGAUGGAGACCAUGAAGAAAAACUCAGUGCAAGUGAAGAAGAAAUGUCUGGUACAACAGAAAUGAAUGGCAAGGGAGGCGAACAUCCUUCACUACAGAAUUUCUUUUGAUGGGUGACAGGUCAUGCUCACAUUCCGCUGAUUGAGUCUCAACAAAGCAUGCUCAAAAUCACCAUAAAUUUUUAGCAUGACUGCAGCUCCCAUUAUGGGGAACAUAGCACAUGUUACCUAGCUGUCAAUGCCUGUGGGGUUAGUGUCACAUUUCCCACACGCCACUUGGGACCAUACACCGACUUCGAAAGGAACCUAAACACUGCCCUGGAGUUUGGUUAUGAAUUUAGCAGGUACUAAAUUAUGAAGAACUCAAGUUAUGUUUAAGUGUUUUGCAGCUAAAGCUUAGUUGUAGUUGUUGCAACCCUGCAGUUUUGAAAAGACAAAACACUUUUUAGAAAAAUGUAUUUUAAAUUGUUUACAUUGGCAUGUUCAGCUCUACAUGUUAUCUUUUUAAAAACAAUAAAUCUUACCAAAGAAUUGCUUUACAGUUAUAAAAUUUACACUUCACGAGUAAAAGUUUCAGGGUAACAAAGUUUCUUGUAUGACAUUUCAGACUAGGCAGGUGAGUGUAAUGGCAACAGAAGUACAUGCAGUGUUUUCAUGAUUACAUAGCAUUUCAAAUUAUUACUCUAUACCAAAUUUUCAAAAGUAAACAUAUAUUCAAUUACACAUUUAAAGUAGCCAGAUAUUCACGACACAUGAGGUAGAGGCUCCUGUUGUCCAGAUCAUUGU